rnacentral:rRNA from 1 species
AGUGGCGGACGGGUGAGUAACGCGUGAGAAUCUGCCUUCAGGUCGGGGACAACAGAGGGAAACUUCUGCUAAUCCCGGAUGAGCCUUAGGGUAAAAAAUUUAUUGCCUGGAGAUGAGCUCGCGUCUGAUUAGCUAGUUGGUAAGGUAAAAGCUUACCAAGGCAACGAUCAGUAGCUGGUCUGAGAGGAUGAGCAGCCACACUGGGACUGAGACACGGCCCAGACUCCUACGGGAGGCAGCAGUGGGGAAUUUUCCGCAAUGGGCGAAAGCCUGACGGAGCAAGACCGCGUGGGGGAGGAAGGCUCUAGGGUUGUAAACCCCUUUUCUUUGGGAAGAACAAAAUGACGGUACCAAAGGAAUCAGCCUCGGCUAACUCCGUUCCAGCAGCCGCGGUAAUACGGAGGAGGCAAGCGUUAUCCGGAAUGAUUGGGCGUAAAGCGUCCGCAGGUGGCAAUGUAAGUCUGCUGUCAAAACCCAGGGCUCAACUCUGGUCAGGCAGUGGAAACUACAUAGCUAGAGUUCGGUAGGGGCAAAGGGAAUUCCCGGUGUAGCGGUGAAAUGCGUAGAGAUCGGGAAGAACAUCGGUGGCGAAAGCGCUUUGCUAGACCGAAACUGACACUCAGGGACGAAAGCUAGGGGAGCGAAUGGGAUUAGAUACCCC